GACGAACGCUGGCGGCGUGCUUAACACAUGCAAGUCGAACGGAAAGGCCUGCUUUCCCUUUUGGAUUGCGGGUACUCGAGUGGCGAACGGGUGAGUAACACGUGAGUGAUCUGCCCCCAACUUGGGUAUAAGCCUGGGAAACUGGGUCUAAUUCCCGAUAGGACUGCAGGGUGGUGCCUGUGGUGGAAAACGAUUUUCUAGUGGUUGGGGAUGAGCUCGCGGCCUAUCAGCUUGUUGGUGGGGUAAUGGCCUACCAAGGCGGCGACGGGUAGCCGGCCUGAGAGGGUGGACGGCCACAUUGGGACUGGGAUACGGCCCAGACUCCUACGGGAGGCAGCAGUGGGGAAUAGUGCAGAAUGGGCGGAAGCCUGAUGCAGCGACGCCGCGUGGGGGAUGACGGCCUUCGGGUUGUAAACUCCUUUCGACCGCGAGGAAGCCACCUGGUUGGAAGGGUGGUGACGGUAGUGGUAGAAGAAGCACCGGCUAACUACGUG
rnacentral:rRNA from 1 species